UACGUAGGGUGCAAGCGUUGUCCGGAAUUAUUGGGCGUAAAGAGCUCGUAGGCGGUCUGUCGCGUCGGCUGUGAAAGCCCGGGGCUCAACCCCGGGCCUGCAGUCGAUACGGGCAGACUAGAGUGUGGUAGGGGAGACUGGAAUUCCUGGUGUAGCGGUGAAAUGCGCAGAUAUCAGGAGGAACACCGGUGGCGAAGGCGGGUCUCUGGGCCGUAACUGACGCUGAGGAGCGAAAGCAUGGGGAGCGAACAGG
rnacentral:rRNA from 1 species